UACGUAGGAGGCAAGCGUUGUCCGGAAUUACUGGGCGUAAAGCGCGUGUAGGUGGUGGGACAAGUCUGCUGUGAAAGCGCCUGGCUUAACCGGGCGAGGUCGGCGGAAACUGUCCGACUCGAGGACGGUAGAGGGGGGUGGAAUUCCCGGUGUAGUGGUGAAAUGCGUAGAGAUCGGGAGGAACACCUGUGGCGAAGGCGGCAUCCUGGACCAACACUGACACUGAUGAGCGAAAGCCAGGGGAGCAAACGGG
rnacentral:rRNA from 1 species